rnacentral:rRNA from 1 species
UACGAAGGGGGCUAGCGUUGCUCGGAAUCACUGGGCGUAAAGCGCACGUAGGCGGACUCUUAAGUCGGGGGUGAAAUCCUGGAGCUCAACUCCAGAACUGCCUUCGAUACUGGGAGUCUUGAGUUCGGGAGAGGUGAGUGGAACUGCGAGUGUAGAGGUGAAAUUCGUAGAUAUUCGCAAGAACACCAGUGGCGAAGGCGGCUCACUGGCCCGAUACUGACGCUGAGGAGCGAAAGCGUGGGUAGCAAACAGG